UGGUGGUGUUGCAACUGGUGGUU
rnacentral:siRNA from 1 species